rnacentral:rRNA from 1 species
GCCUACGGGGCGCAGCAGUGGGGAAUAUUGCACAAUGGGGGGAACCCUGAUGCAGCGACGCCGCGUGAGUGAAGAAGUAUUUCGGUAUGUAAAGCUCUGUCAGCAGGGAAGAAGAAAUACGGUACCUGACCAAGAAGCCCCGGCUAACUACGUGCCAGCAGCCGCGGUAAUACGUAGGGGGCAAGCGUUAUCCGGAUUUACUGGGUGUAAAGUGAGCGAAGACGGCAGGGAAAGCCUGGAGUGAAAGGCAGGGGCCCAACCCCUG